AAGCCUAUUGGUGGCAAGCACAUAAGGCACGUGGGAUGGCCAGGGGCCUCCAGCACAGGAAGGCCCCGAGUGAAAGCCUAGCAGAGUUAAGCGACUGUACGACAUGCUGAAAGGGAUCAGUGAUUUCUCCUGCAGCCAGUUCCAACCUGCUGAAAGGAACACUGAGAAAAUAUAUGGACUCAGUAAACCUGAGCUGCCUCCAAUGGCCUCACUCACUCCAACCCUCAACUUUG
rnacentral:lncRNA from 1 species